UACCUCAAAAAACCGCAACAGUCUGUUUCAUCUGUAUAGACCACCUGAUGAUUCCUAUAUACGGAUGAAACAGACUGUUGUGGUUUUU